CAAGUCGAACGAGAAAGUGGAGCAAUCCAUGAGUACAGUGGCGUACGGGUGAGUAACACGUGGGUAAUCUACCUUUUAGUGUGGAAUAACCCUGGGAAACCGGGGCUAAUACCGCAUAAGCUCGAGAGAGGAAAGUCGCAAGACGCUGAAAGAGGAGCCCGCGGCCGAUUAGCUAGUUGGCAGGGUAAGAGCCUACCAAGGCAGAGAUCGGUAGCCGGCCUGAGAGGGCACACGGCCACACUGGCACUGAAACACGGGCCAGACUCCUACGGGAGGCAGCAGUGGGGAAUCUUGCACAAUGGGGGCAACCCUGAUGCAGCGACGCCGCGUGGGCGAUGAAGCCCUUCGGGGUGUAAAGCUCUUUCGGCAGGGAAGAUAAUGACGGUACCUGCAGAAGCAGCUGCGGCUAACUACGUGCCAGCAGCCGCGGUAAUACGUAGGCAGCGAGCGUUGUUCGGAGUUACUGGGCGUAAAGGGUGUGUAGGCGGUUGUUUAAGUUUGGUGUGAAAUCUCCCGGCUCAACUGGGAGGGUGCGCCGAAUACUGAAUGACUAGAGUGCGGGAGAGGAAAGUGGAAUUCCUGGUGUAGCGGUGAAAUGCGUAGAUAUCAGGAGGAACACCGGUGGUGUAGACGGCUUUCUGGACCGUAACUGACGCUGAGACACGAAAGCGUGGGUAGCAAACAGGAUUAGAUACCCUGGUAGUCCACGCCCUAAACGAUGCAUAUUUGGUGUGGGCAGUUCAUUCUGUCCGUGCCGGAGCUAACGCGUUAAAUAUGCCGCCUGGGGAGUACAGUCGCAAGGCUGAAACUCAAAGGAAUUGACGGGGGCCCGCACAAGCGGUGGAGCAUGUGGUUCAAUUCGACGCA
rnacentral:rRNA from 1 species